rnacentral:miRNA from 1 species
UCUGUGUUCCUGCAUGUGUGCAUGUGCAUGUGCACAUGUGUGUGUGUAUAGGUACGUGCACACAUAUAGGUACAUGUAUGUAAACAGUUUCUUGCUAGA